CAAUAGCGUAUAUUAAAGUUGUUGCGGUUAAAAAGCUCGUAGUUGGAUCUCGGCAGGCAGGGGGUGGUUCGCUCUUAGCGCUACUGCCCCAUUUGCCUGUGUGAUUGGCGGAGGUUUCGGGGUGCUCUUCGUUGAGUGACCCGGGGCGCCGUCAGGUUUACUUUGAAAAAAUUAGAGUGCUCAAAGCAGGCUUUUCACGCUUGAAUAUUCGUGCAUGGAAUAAUGGAAUAGGAACUCGUUUCUAUUUUGUUGGUUUUCGGAAAUCGAGUUAAUGAUUAAUAGGGACAAUUGGGGGCAUUAGUAUUCAGACGACGGAGGUGAAAUUCUUGGACCGUCUGAAGACUAACUACUGCGAAAGCACUUGCCAAGAGUGUUUUCAUUAA
rnacentral:rRNA from 1 species